GUCGGCAUCGUCACCAUCCAGCCGACCACCGUUUCUGUCGUCAGCGAAUUGCCGGGCCGCACGAGCGCGUUUCUCGUCGCCCAGGUUCGCGCUCGGGUCGACGGCAUCGUGCAACGCCGCGAAUUCACCGAAGGUGCAGAUGUGAAGGCAGGUCAGCGCCUUUACAAGAUCGA
rnacentral:ncRNA from 1 species